rnacentral:rRNA from 1 species
CUGGAGGUAUCAGAAGUGCGAAUGCUGACAUAAGUAACGAUAAAGCGGGUGAAAAGCCCGCUCGCCGGAAGACCAAGGGUUCCUGUCCAACGUUAAUCGGGGCAGGGUGAGUCGACCCCUAAGGCGAGGCCGAAAGGCGUAGUCGAUGGGAAACAGGUUAAUAUUCCUGUACUUGGUGUUACUGCGAAGGGGGGACGGAGAAGGCUAUGUUGGCCGGGCGACGGUUGUCCCGGUUUAAGCGUGUAGGCUGGUUUUCCAGGCAAAUCCGGAAAAUCAAGGCUGAGGCGUGAUGACGAGGCACUACGGUGCUGAAGCAACAAAUGCCCUGCUUCCAGGAAAAGCCUCUAAGCAUCAGGUAACAUCAAAUCGUACCCCAAACCGACACAGGUGGUCAGGUAGAGAAUACCAAGGCGCUUGAGAGAACUCGGGUGAAGGAACUAGGCAAAAUGGUGCCGUAACUUCGGGAGAAGGCACGCUGAUAUGUAGGUGAAGUCCCUCGCGGAUGGAGCUGAAAUCAGUCGAAGAUACCAGCUGGCUGCAACUGUUUAUUAAAAACACAGCACUGUGCAAACACGAAAGUGGACGUAUACGGUGUGACGCCUGCCCGGUGCCGGAAGGUUAAUUGAUGGGGUUAGCCGCAAGGCGAAGCUCUUGAUCGAAGC